rnacentral:pre_miRNA from 1 species
UAAAAAAACAAACCCUGAUUUCCAUGCCCAACAUUUGACCAUUCGUCUUAUUUAAAAAAAUUAUAAAAAAAAUUAAAAAUACAAGUCACGCAUAAAAUAUUAAUUAUGUUUUAUCAUCUAACAACAAUAAAAAUAUGAAUUAUAAAAAAUCUCAUAUAAGACGGAUAAUCAAAAUUGAACACGAAAAUCUAGGGGUUACUUUUUU